UGGUGCCAGCAGCCGCGGUAAUUCCAGCUCCAAUAGCGUAUAUUAAAGUUGUUGCAGUUAAAAAGCUCGUAGUUGAAUUUCGGGAUUAGUACGUUGGUCGUGCCUUAGGUACGUACUGGUGUUACUGGUUCCUACCUUCUGACGAACCAUCAUUUCAUUAAUUUGGUGUGGCGGGGAAUCAGGACUGUUACUUUGAAAAAAUUAGAGUGUUUAAAGCAGGCUCGCGCUUGAAUACAUUAGCAUGGAAUAAUGAAAUAGGACGUUGACCCUAUUUUGUUGGUUUCUAGGAUUGACGUAAUGAUUAAUAGGGAUAGUUGGGGGCAUUAGUAUUCAAUUGUCAGAGGUGAAAUUCUUGGAUUUAUUGAAGACUAACUACUGCGAAAGCAUUUGCCAAGGAUGUUUUCAUUAAUCAAGAACGAAAGUUAGGGGAUCGAAGACGAUCAGAUACCGUCGUAGUCUUAACCAUAAACUAUGCCGACUAGGGA
rnacentral:rRNA from 2 species